rnacentral:rRNA from 1 species
GGCGGCGUGCCUAACACAUGCAAGUCGAACGAGAAAGUGGAGCAAUCCAUGAGUAAAGUGGCGACCGGGUGAGUAACACGUGACUAACCUACCUCCGAGUGGGGAAUAACUCCGGGAAACCGGGGCUAAUACCGCAUAACAUCGCAAGAUCAAAGCAGCAAUGCGCUUGGAGAGGGGGUCGCGGCUGAUUAGCUCGUUGGCGGGGUAACGGCCCACCAAGGCGAAGGUCGGUAUCCGGCCUGAGAGGGCGCACGGACACACUGGAACUGAAACACGGUCCACACUCCUACGGGAGGCAGCAGUGGGGAAUUUUGCGCAAUGGGGGAAACCCUGACGCCCCAACGCCGCGUGGAGGAUGAGGCCCUUUGGGGCGUAAACUCCUUUCGACCCGGACGAUAAUGACGGUACCACUGGAAGAAGCACCGGC